rnacentral:lncRNA from 1 species
CAGUUACCCGUAACCGUCGCAUCGUUCGGUACAUAAAUAUCAGCCUCCUGAACAUAGAAUUUUUCAUUCUUAUUUUCCAGGUUUUUCGAGUUUUUCUAACAUCAAUGGGGGUUGUACUGAGUGAGAAGUUCGAAGCUUUCGAUUUUUGGGCUUUGAGAUUCACUGUGAUGAACGAAAGAAAGUAAAAACAAUCAAGCAAAAUCAGACACACACAUUAUAUAGCGAUAUCACUUAUGGAGCUAUACUUUGGGUCACAUGAAAUCUGAAUUCCAAACUGCACUUUUAAUAUCGGUGGAUGGAUACUGCAGCACAUAUGUACGUUGUGCUCGGCAUGCGACGGAAGCCUUCUGUAAUAAUAAUAUUGGCCACAUACCAACUAAGGUGAUUUAAAAUAGCACCAAUUGCCGGCCUCUCCAUCACAACAAUUAAAUAUUAUUCUUAUUGUUAUUACCAUAAUUAAUAUUUGAAUGAAUAAAUCCCUUGAAUUACGAACAUAGUUGCUUUACAUGAAAAUUAUUCCGCAACCUCGAAUGAUGACAAAUUCCAGUAUUG